CGUCACUUACCUUAUUCAUAGGAGGCUGCAACGUUUUUUUAAAAGAGAGCUCUCAUUCUCGACAUUGAAGGGAAUUGGCUGGAGCUAUGUUUAUUUUUUUUAGAUGAUGGAUGAAUGAAGAAAUGUGAUGGCACGGUUUCCAUGGGUGCAUUGACGGUCUGGUGAUGAUUGGAUAACGCAUGGUUUUAUUUCUUUUAGCAAGAAGUUGCACAAUUUUAUUACUUGGAAGCCGCCACCUACACGGAUGGGAAUUUUUGAGGUGCAAGGGC
rnacentral:lncRNA from 1 species